AUUGAACGCUGGCGGCAUGCCUUACACAUGCAAGUCGAACGGUAACAGGUCUUCGGAUGCUGACGAGUGGCGAACGGGUGAGUAAUACAUCGGAACGUGCCUAGUAGUGGGGGAUAACUACUCGAAAGAGUGGCUAAUACCGCAUGAGAUCUACGGAUGAAAGCAGGGGAUCGCAAGACCUUGUGCUACUAGAGCGGCCGAUGGCAGAUUAGGUAGUUGGUGGGAUAAAAGCUUACCAAGCCGACGAUCUGUAGCUGGUCUGAGAGGACGAUCAGCAACACUGGGACUGAGACACGGCCCAGACUCCUACGGGAGGCAGCAGUGGGGAAUUUUGGACAAUGGGCGCAAGCCUGAUCCAGCAAUGCCGCGUGCAGGAUGAAGGCCUUCGGGUUGUAAACUGCUUUUGUACGGAACGAAAAGCCCUGGGUUAAUACCCGGGGGUCAUGACGGUACCGUAAGAAUAAGCACCGGCUAACUACGUGCCAGCCGCCGCCGUAA
rnacentral:rRNA from 1 species